UACGGGGGGGGGCAAGCGUUGUUCGGAAUUACUGGGCGUAAAGCGCGCGUAGGCGGCUUUUCAAGUCAGACGUGAAAGCCCCCAGGCUUAACCUGGGAAUUGCGUUUGAUACUGUUAGGCUAGAGUGUGGAAGGGGCUACUGGAAUUCCGUGUGUAGCGGUGAAAUGCGUAGAUAUACGGAGGAACACCAGCGGCGAAGGCGGCAUCCUGGACCGGCAUUGACGCUGAUGAGCGAAAGCUAGGGGAGCAAACGGG
rnacentral:rRNA from 1 species